rnacentral:rRNA from 1 species
UACGUAGGGGGGCGAGCGUUGUCCGGAUUUUAUUGGGCGUAAAAACGCUUGUAGGUGGCUACGUCAAAGUCGGACGUGAAAAUCUCCCCGGCUUUAACUGGGAGGGGGUCGCUCGAUACUGGCGAGCUCGAGGCAGGUAGGGGGGAAGCGGAAUUCCCCGGUGUAGUGGUGGAAAUGCGUAGAUAUCGGGAGGAACACCAGUGGCGAAGGCGGCUUCCUGGACCUGUUCUGACAC